rnacentral:snRNA from 1 species
CGAAGUGAGGGAGAUCUGGCUGCGACAUCUGUCACCCCAUUGAUCGCCAGGGUUCAUUCAGCUGAUCUGGCUGGCUAGGCGGGUGUCCUCUUCCUCCCUCACUGUUCCAUGUGCAUCCCUCCCCAAGCUGCUCCAUCGGUAGAAGAGGACAGCCUUCCCCGAGUAGAGACUGGACCAGUCUUCUGUGGAGGGUAUACAAGUAGCUGUACUCCCUUCUAGAACCUCCCAACAAGCCCUCAAGAAACUAAAAGAGAUUUGGGGUCUCGAGGCCGUAAGAAGCUAAGAAGUCUAUUUUAGAUAUAUUCCAAGGGGCCCACAACUUUAGUAAUAUUUG